GAAAAAAAAAAUCGCUUGAAAAUCGCUAUGAAGCUAGCUAGUCGCUCGCUAGUUGUUCGCUAGUCGCUAGCUCAUUUCCCACCGGGUAUCUUGAAAUAAAGACAGAUAGAUAAUCAUAGAUUUAUUUCUUCGAACUGACAAUAGUUUAAAGCUACGUUUUGUGUUAAUCACCAAAAUGGAAGAAGCUGUGCCAGUGACUAAUGUAAAUUGUGGUCAAAAACGUACAGUACACGAAAGUGAAUGGAAGAGGAAUGUAAUGAAGGAUGAAAAGAAACGAAGUAAGUUUAAUAACGUUUAAAUAUGCAAUAUUUCUUAAUCAUCGUCAUUAUGUAUGCUCUACCAGACCAACUUUUUUGAUCUUUGCUGCCCUCGGGACUAUUUAUUUGCUGAUGGAGAAAUGGAUCUGUUCCAGGUGUCGCUAAAGCUGCUACGUAGCGGCGAAACCGAUGUAAAACUUUUUUAAUUUUUGUAUUUGUAUUUUGUACCAGCUCAUAGGUCCACGGCACCCACCUCCUGCAAGCCUCUCUAUUCUGAGUAUUUCUCUUCAUUGUCUCAUAGUCUUCAUUCAUUAGCUCCUCCAUCAUUCCCUUCCUCCUCCUUCCUCUUCCCCUCCUUCCUUCCAUUCUUCCCUCCAUCAUAUCUCUCAUCUUUCUAAUGCAUAAUAUUAUUGAUUUAGUCGAUAUUUUCAGUUAUUUAGUCUUUUAGUCUUAUGCAGUGUGUAUGAGUGAGUCUGUGUGUGUGUUUUGUGUGUUUGAUGUGUUUGUGUGUGUGUGUAUGUGUGUGUGUGUGUGGUGUGGUGUGCUUGUAUGUAUUUGUGUUUUUGUGUGUUUGUAUUAUAUAGCUUUAGAGUUAGGAUUAGUGUCUAUUUUAGGUUUAGAGUUAUGUUUUACACUAACCCUAACCCUAAACACUAACAGAUAACAGACAACCUGUUAUUAUGCUGGUAAAUUAUUUAACAAGCAGUGGUUUAAUUUAUUUUAAAGUUUUAUUUUAUUUUUUUUAUUAUUUUAUUUUAUUUUAAUUUAUUUUAAAGUUUGCUAAUCAUAAUAUGUAAUGCUUUUUAGAAUCGCUUGAAGCAGGAAAACGUCCAAUACCAAAGUGCAGAUGCAAGUGCGUCGAAAAAUUAACCAAUGAUGAAGCUGUAAGCAUUCACACGUCAUAUCAUUCAUUAUCCACAACAUCACUCCAAAUUGCAUUUCUUCGCAGCUGCACCAUAUACAAACCAAAAAUGCGUUCUCGUCCUUAAAAGUUGCCCCCAAAUAACCCAGACAAGUAUUUAAGUACUGUGUGACUUAAAUAACUGGUGAUCGCUGUGUGGAGAUAUGCAGGUUAGCUUUGUUAGCGGUAUUAAAUAUAAAAUGCAGUAAACUUUGUCGUAAAGUAACUUCGGCACAAAGCAGGGUAAAGACAGUGGAAGAUAACAGAGGUCGUCAUGAAGUAAUAACUAAUCUUACUCCGGAGAAUGUAAAAUAUCAUGUUCGAGAUUUUACCCGUGUCGACAAUCACACUAUUCACGCAGCAAACAGCAGCAUAGGAAGUUUCGAUUCGAUUCCAACCUGAGCAUAUCAGCAUUGUUUAAACAGUACAACAACAGCAACGAAAAUCAUCAUGUUUCCGAACACGUGUUCACACAUAUUUUUAAUACUGAAUUUAAUUUUAGUUUUGAAAGUCCGCGAUCCGAUAUCUAUGAAACCUAUGAAAAAUUUAUUGUUCAGGAACAGGUAGCUAACAAGAAGGGUGACAAAACUGUUGCAGCCAAUGUAAGUACACAGCAUGAGUAAUGUAAGUACAUAUUUGAGAAAAGCUGAAGUGUUUUAUGACAAAAUUAAAAACUAUAAACUUGAGAAGGCAGAGGAUAGCCUGGUGAUAUGCAUGGACUAUGAGAAAAACCUACCAGUGCUAAUCACAAACGUAGCAGGUGAAUAUUAUAAAAGGCCGCUCUGGAUACACAAUUUUGGAAUAUUAAACAUAGUAACAGGUGAAGCUACCUUAUAGCUGUACAGUGAGCAGUCGGGCCACAAAGGUCCGAAUGAAGUGAUAUCGUGUCUUGAUGAUUACAUUGAUCAAAAUAGGAAUGAAUCUCACACAAAAUUGAUAAUAUUUGCCGACAACUGUUAUAGUCAGAAUAAAAACAGAUACUUACUUGUUUAUCUGGAUAACAUUAGUGCACGUGGGAUUUUUGGAGAAGUUAUCAUUCAUUACCCCAUUCCAGGACAUUCUAUGAUGCCUAAUGACAGGUCAUUUGGGAAGAUUGAAAAAUGCAAGAGAAGAGUUGAGAAACUCAGUAAGCCAGACGAGUGGAUCGAUAUAAACAGAAAUGCAAUCAAAGAAAACCAUUUCAAGUCAAGUUUGUCAAUACGCUGUGACUUGCAAGUCAGUAGAUGAUGAUGCUGUUGUUGUUGUAAAAGACUGGAAGACAGUAGUAGAACCAGCUGUAAAAGCUUUCAUUCCUGUAGCGUCUGCUAGAACCAUUAGAUUCACAGCAAGAUUAGUACACUAUGACGGGUGCAUUUGAUUAAGUUCUGCUGUAUAAGAGAGGGCACUCCAGAAGAUGUGUACUAAACCCUGUGCCAGCCUAUGGAAAACCGCUGGCCAUAAAAGAGGCUAAACUAAACGAUGUUAAGUAUUUGCUUAAAUAUAUUGAUGCUUAUGUUGCUUCUUCUGCUUUUUACACUAGCCUCACAGGAACAAAAUCCGAUAAAGCAGGAGAAGAAGAAGAAGAAGAAGAAGAAGAAGAUGAUGAUGAUGAUAAUGAUGAUGAUGAUGAUGAUGAUGAAGUUGAGUGAGCAGACUCUUAUACAGAGAACUGUUUAGCUUUUACAUUUAAAGUAAGAUUAAAGAUUUUAGCAUUGAUAUAGUGUUGUAUUACAUAACGUUAUUGUGUUGCGUUAUUUUUGUAGAUUGCUGGAGUAAUAUUACGCUAUUUACGCUCACAGCCACUAUGUUGGGAGCAGUAAGACUGAUAAUAAUGCAGAUGAGAAGUUUCAUUGUUAGACGUUUUAAUGGAAAAAGUUCACAAGUCCAUUUUUUAUUUUUUUAAAAAGUAGAUACAUGGUGAAAGUCUAACUUUCUCUAAAAUAUCCCUUUACUAGCUAGUUAGGUGUACAUUAGUUUUGUAUGGUAUUUCUUGAGUUCAACUUAAGGCUAUUAUUUCUGCAUUUUGUAUAAAAUUCUAAAACCAUUUUUUUCAAAUUCAUUAUAAUGUGACUUGUAAACUUUUUGCAGGCAAGGCUUCAUUUGCUUUUGUUUAAAUUAAACAAAAACUAUAUUAAUAAAAAAAUAAUAAUUCUUGCUGUAAAUCUUAAUCUUCAUUAACAGGAAAAAUAUUUUUAUAACAUAAAAAUUGUUUUAACUGCAAUGUUAUACAAAAAUUCAUUUGGAGGUCUGUCUCUAUUUCAUUUUAUUUUUUUUUAAUUUUAUUUAGGUGCCCAAAGAAGUCAUUACGGUUUUAUCACAAAGCACCGCGAAUGAGCAUUUAAUCGGGAGUUUACUCCUCCUUCCAAACCGAUGUCACAAAACUUGCCCAGAAGUAGGGUUUGAACCACGAAUCCUUUGUUUCUGAGGCAAGUGCGUUACUACUGCGCCAUAGCUGCUUAUUUUAUCUAUAAAUACCUCUUCCUACAAAUAUAUAUACGUGAUUCUAAUUUCUAAAACAUUUAAAUGUAUUUUCUUUAAUUUCAAAAUAGCACUUAUUACGUAUUUGCCCAUGUAAUGUGGUUAUUGCAAAUGCGUUAAUGGCUAAAAAGCCUACGAUUAGAAACAUAAAACUCGUUUGAAACUGGUAAAAUAUUUAAGCCAAUAAAAAAACAACAGUUUUUAUAAGCCAAUAAAACUGAAAACAGUUUUUAUAAAAAGAAUAAACUGCAAAUAAAAGUUUUAUUAUGAUGGUUAUCAAACCUAAUUUGAUCGGAAUGCCAAUUUUAUAACUUUAAAAAGUAAUAAAAAUGAAAAGUUGCAAUAAUUUAAGUACUCAGUUCGGGUUCAUUUUAAAUUGCAUUGUGGUUUUUAGUAUCAUAAAUGCUUACUCGGGAUGCGACUGCAACUAUCAUUCGGGUGGUUGCAUUAUAAGCAAAGGAGCACAAAAAAAUGGCGAAACCUGCAAAUGCGUUUAUUGUGUUUUAGGAUUUUGCACUGGCUAUACUGUGAGUUGUAUUCAAGCUCUACAAGAUAUAUGCAAAGCAAACUGUCGAAGCCAUAAAUGUUGUAUUAUAGGAGGUGGUAACUGUGGCGGAUAUUAAAAUACUAGUGUUUAAAUUUCUCUUUAGCUAUAAAUGUCAGUUAGUAGUAGUCUUUUUUGUUGUUUUUUAUAGCCUUAAUUCACUAAACUGUUAAAUGCUCUAAUUGUUUUAAAUUUUAUUUGUUUUAAUUUACAAAAUUUUAUAU